rnacentral:rRNA from 1 species
UACAGAGGGGGCAAGCGUUGUUCGGAAUUACUGGGCGUAAAGCGCGCGUAGGCGGACCUGCAAGUCGGGGGUGAAAUCCCGGGGCUCAACCCUGGAAUGGCCUUCGAGACUGCCGGUCUUGAGUUCGAGAGAGGUGGGUGGAAUUCCGAGUGUAGAGGUGAAAUUCGUAGAUAUUCGGAGGAACACCAGUGGCGAAGGCGGCCCACUGGCUCGACACUGACGCUGAGGUGCGAAAGCGUGGGGAGCAAACAGG